GGACUACUGGGGUAUCUAAUCCCGUUUGCUCCCCUAGCUUUCGCUCCUCAGCGUCAGUACAUCCCCAGGUGAUCGCCUUCGCCACUGGUGUUCUUCCCGAUAUCUACGCAUUUCACCGCUACACCGGGAAUUCCAUCACCCUCUGAAUGCCUCAAGAAAACCAGUAUCAGUGCCGUCCCCUGAGUUGAGCCCAGGUCUUUCUUCACCGACUUGAUCCCCCGCCUACGAGCGCUUUACGCCCAAUAAUUCCGAAUAACGCUCGCCCCCUACGUCUUACCGCGGCUGCUGGCAC
rnacentral:rRNA from 1 species